AUGCUCCGGCUCCGUCGCGGCGUCCUCACCCAGGUCCUCUCGUCUCUCUCCGCCUCUCCCGUAUCCCCUCUCCACCGCCUCAUCUCCGCCGCCGCGCCCGCCAUCUCCCCAAACCCUAGCUUCCCCGUGGAGGAGUACCUCGUCUCCACCUGCGGCCUCACCCGACCACAGGCCCUCAAGGCCUCCGCCAAGCUCUCCCACCUCAAGUCCCCCGCCAAUCCCGACGCCGUGCUCGCCUUCCUCGCCGGCCUCGGCCUCUCUGACGCCGAUGUCGCCGCCCUCGUCGCCAAGGACCCGCAGUUCCUCUGCGCCAGCGUGGAGAGAACCCUGGCGCCCGUCGUCGCCGGGCUCUCUGGCCUCGGCUUAUCGCGUUCCGACAUCGCGCGCCUCGCCUCGCUCUCCCGGUACAGAUUCCGCUGUAGAUCCAUCGUCUCCAAGCUGCAGUACUACAUGCCUUUCUUUGGGUCCUUUGAGAAUCUCCUCCGAGCCCUCAAGAGGAACUUCUACCUUCACUCGGCUGACCUCGAUGAUGUGGUCAAGCCCAACGUCGCGUUGCUGCAGGAGUGCGGGCUAGGUGCUUGUGAUAUUGUCAAGCUAUGCAUCAGUCAACCAUGGCUUCUCACCGCCAACCUGGAGCGUGUCCAGGCGAUGGUGGAAUGCGCUGAAAACAUAGGUGUGCCCCGUGCUUCUGGGAUGUUCAGGCACGCGCUGCAUGCUGUUGCAUUUCUCAGCGAGGACAAGAUCGCAGCCAGGGUGAAGUACUUGAAGAACACCUUCAGGUGGACGGAUGCUGAGGUAGGCAUGGCUGUUUCUAAGUCUCCAAUGGUGCUGACGAGGUCCAAGGAGUCGCUGCAGCGCAGGUCUGACUUCCUCAUCUCCGAGGUGGGCUUGGAACCGGUGUACAUUGCUCAACGGUCGGAAAUAAUCGGUCACAGCCUAGAGGGCCGGCUCAGGCCCCGGUACUAUGCUGUGAAGUUUCUCAAGGAAAAUGGAUUGCUCAAGCGUGACCCAAACUACAGUACCGUUUUCAAGGUGAGUGAGAAGGCAUUCAGGAAGAAGUUCAUAUUCCCUCACAAGGAGGCUGCACUGGACCUGGCAGAAGACUAUGAUGCCGCUUGCAAGGGGGAACUGCCGACUAAUUUCAGAUUCACAUGA
rnacentral:rRNA from 1 species